UCGCUCAGGUCUCUCCUCAAAACCUCGUACGAAUUAAUCUUUCGCCUUUUACUAAAGAUUACCGUGGGGAGGGACACUCCAAUGAGCCUAUAGGCUAAUUUUUGAAAGGCCGUACCCGUUUGGGUG
rnacentral:snRNA from 1 species